GUCCGGCUGACGAGCCCGAAAUGGGACGAAACGCGUGUCCUAGAU
rfam:Schistosoma mattheei strain Denwood, Zambia genome assembly, scaffold: SMTD_scaffold0002898